rnacentral:rRNA from 1 species
UUGCACGCUGGCGGCAUGCCUUACCCAUGCCAGUCGCACGGCAGCACGGGUGCUUGCCCCUGGUGGCGAGUGGCGAACGGGUGAGUAAUACAUCGGAACAUGUCCUGUAGUGGGGGAUAGCCCGGCGAAAGCCGGAUUAAUACCGCAUACGAUCUACGGAUGAAAGCGGGGGACCUUCGGGCCUCGCGCUAUAGGGUUGGCCGAUGGCUGAUUAGCUAGUUGGUGGGGUAAAGGCCUACCAAGGCGACGAUCAGUAGCUGGCCUGAGAGGACGACCAGCCACACUGGGACUGAGACACGGCCCAGACUCCUACGGGAGGCAGCAGUGGGGAAUUUUGGACAAUGGGCGAAAGCCUGAUCCAGCAAUGCCGCGUGUGUGAAGAAGGCCUUCGGGUUGUAAAGCACUUUUGUCCGGAAAGAAAUCCUUGGCUCUAAUACAGUCGGGGGAUGACGGUACCGGAAGAAUAAGCACCGGCUAACUACGUG